UUAAGUUUAAGAGAAAUUAAGAGAAAGAUGGACACCUGCAAGGCUUUAAAGGAUUUCUGACUGAAAAAGCCCUGACUUCGCAAGCUCUUCAGCUUCCUAGCACUGGACCCUUGCGGGACUAAAGCUGAGAGGGCCUCUUUCUCA